UACAGAGUCAACUGUGUUGUUUAGCUUUUACUUUUCAAGAGAGAGCAGCAAAGUAGCAUAUGUUAUAUCUUAUCCUUAAUCUGAGGGAGCCUUGAUUUCUGAGUUGAUCACCAUUUCAAGAGUUGCACACCGUUCAUCUUUCUGUCAACUUUUCUUGGGAAGGAAGCAUAUAUGUGACAACAUUUAAUUUUCCACCACUUCUGCAAUGUUCUUCUAACUGAGAAGUAGGAGAUGUCAUUUACUAGCAGAGUACAGAUAUAUACUGAGGGCAUUUUUACGUGAUACUAAUUGAGAGGCUAUGCGUGCCUGGUUGUAAAGAGACCUGCUGAGCUGCACAUGUAAAAACACUGCUGAGGAUACUUGGUGCGAAGUCACAGAAAGGGUUUCCAAUCACUUACUGCCUCUGCUGGGGGACUGUAUUUGCUGUAAGAUCCUCAGCAGGAUCAGACUCUAAAAACAUUACUAAGAACAUGAAUAUUCUUCUUAUGUUGUCUUUAUCAUCACCAAGGAGAUCUGAACAAUCUGAAUAAUUAAAAAGUUCUCUAAAACAUUUACUUUUUGUUUGUUUGCCUGAUCUACUGAAGAGGAGGUUGAAGAGAAUGAAUAGCAUAUGCCAUCCUUUCACUUAGCAGCGGUCUGUGCAGCUUCUUCCUGCGCAGGGAGUUUGCUUUUGUAUACCCUGCAGGAUAGGUGUUUCAAGGGUUGGAUGCAUGGGAUUUAUAAAUCACACACAGAGUCAGUGAUUGUCUUCUGUACCAAAGUGAAUCUUGUACAAUCUAAAAUAAAUAUUUAUGAAG
rnacentral:lncRNA from 7 species